GCCCCGAUAGCUCAGUGGUAGAGCACUUCCAUGGUAAGGAAGGGGUCGUCAGUUCAAUCCUGACUCGGGGCC
rnacentral:tRNA from 11 species